GCUUCCAAGAUUUGAAAACCACCAUCUUCAGUCCACAGAUAAAAUGGCUGCCUUCCCAUCAUGCUCAUCUCCUUCACAUCACAUUUUCCCCCACACAUCACCAAAAAGGGGGCCAGGUUCCAAGCUUGUUUGCACAAAACCACUAUCUACCUGCUUCAUCAGCUUCACAAGUUCUGUUCUUGCACAACUCCAUUUGCUCCAAUCCUUUUCUUCUCUUCUUCCUGGUCAAAUUUUUCCUAGUUCCCCUUUGAUAUCCUCCUGCAUUUUGGAAGUUCUUGGUUGCCAUUUUCAGUUUGUGUUCUUGAUCCUCCUGAGUGGAAUUAGUUCCAAGAUCUCCCCUGGGUGAAAUCAAGAAAGGGGGAAAUCUGUCCAGAAAUCCAGCAAUACCAAGUUCAAGAUCAGAGAUAUAUUCCUUGCAAGAAAACUUCCAAAUCAGACUGGUGAGAGCCAAGAAAUUACUCCUCAUCAGAAGAUACAUCAUCUUCAGAAAUCCAUCACAGAAAAUCUCCCAACAACAAACUGUCCGGACAACACAUUUCAUGCUUCUUGAACACCUGAUGAUCACAAUGGAGGAACAGAUGUUCAGAGAGCAGCAAAUGCAGAGAGGUGGAAGGCAUCAUCAGCAUCACACCACAAGGGAACAAGAACAACAGCAGAAGCAGCAGCAGCGGCGGCGGCUGAUGAACAAUGCGACCAACGGCGGCGGCGGCGACGGCGGCAGCAGGUGCUACUUCAGCACGGAGGCCAUCCUGGUGCUGGCAUGCGUCACCGUGUCGCUGCUGGUGCUGCCGCUCAUCCUGCCGCCGCUGCCGCCGCCGCCGACGCUGCUGCUGCUGCUGCCGGUGUGCUUGCUGGCGCUCCUGGUGGUGCUGGCCUUCAUGCCCACUGACAUGAGGACCAUGGCCUCUUCCUACUUGUAAGUAGGCAAUGAGAAUAUGUACAGGCAAUUUUAUUUUUCUUUGACUAUUUUUUAUGUGUUUUAGUUUUUGUUUGUGACUUUGUGUGGCACAUAAAUAAGUGCACGAGAAAAGGAGAGAAUUUUGAGUUGUUUAUGGAGGCUAGAUGACCAGCGUUUGCGUUUGAUUGGAUUCAA